rnacentral:rRNA from 1 species
AUUGAACGCUGGCGGAAUGCUUUACACAUGCAAGUCGAACGGUAGAGGGGGCAACCCCUCGAGAGUGGCGAACGGGUGAGUAAUAUAUCGGAACGUGCCCAGUCGUGGGGGAUAACGUAGCGAAAGUUACGCUAAUACCGCAUACGAUCUACGGAUGAAAGCGGGGGACUCGCAAGAGCCUCGCGCGAUUGGAGCGGCCGAUAUCAGAUUAGCUAGUUGGUGGGGUAAAGGCCCACCAAGGCAACGAUCUGUAGCUGGUUUGAGAGAACGACCAGCCACACUGGGACUGAGACACGGCCCAGACUCCUACGGGAGGCAGCAGUGGGGAAUUUUGGACAAUGGGCGAAAGCCUGAUCCAGCAAUGCCGCGUGCAGGAUGAAGGCCUCGGUUGUAAACUGCUUUGUACGGAGCGAAAAGGCUUCUUCUAAUACAGGAGGCUCAUGACGGUACCGUAAGAAUAAGCACCGGCUAACUACGUG